ACCUGUGCAGUGAAUGCAUUUGCUGUGGUACCAAAAUUAGGGUCACUCGUUUGAUAAGAAGGUCUGUUAAGGACUGUGUGUCUCCCUGAUGACAGUUCAGUUCUGUGGGAAGCUAGAAAAGCACAAAACUGCUGCUAAGAGUAGCUCUGACAGGAAUAGAUGGUGAAGUGAAAUUGAAGAAGCAAUAAUAAGUGAGACUUUGAGGAACCCUGCAAACUCACUCCUGCUUUAAAAAGGAAAACUGCAGUAGAUUGUUGCAUAACAUGCUUUUAAGAGAAAAUGUCAUCCAGUGGAACCUAAAGCUAGAUGCUGUUCUGAAGUUUUAGAAUGCAGCACAAGGGGCACUCAAUUCACCACUGAAAAUCAGAGGCCCCCAAGCCACAAAGCACCUUUCAGGGUCCAUUUUUUAAAUGUACAACAGACUGGGGACAUCAUGAAAGUUCUGGAGUCGGGUCUUGCAGAAUUAAUCCAAUUACCUGAAAAACAGCUGGGAGCAGAUGAGAAUGUGACUUCUA